rnacentral:lncRNA from 1 species
CCCUUCCAUAUUGAUCGACAAUUUUUCUGAUCACCUACCGCCAAUCUGUGGGCCGUUUGACAUAGGCUUCAAACUCUCAGCGUAGGUUGAAGACAUUUCUCCAACUGCUUCGGUUGGAUGACGACGGAGCUUGAAGACAUUUCCCAAACCAAUCUACAACCAUCGGCAACGCACUUACCGAUCGGCAAGCUGACCACUGCACCUCCAUGAGCACUCACACAAUCUUCGAUGAUAGGCAACACCCUCAACAACACACUUUAGAUGCUCAUAUGACACGCGUGACGUAACACCUGCCAUUCGGCAAGUGUCGUGCUAAGCAUGCAGGAGGCGCUCGCACAAACACCUUCCAGGCCUAUCACCGC